GGGGCUAUAGCUCAAUUGGUAGAGCGCCUGCUUUGCACGCAGGAGGUUAGCGGUUCAAUUCCGCUUAGCUCCA
rnacentral:tRNA from 1 species